AAUAAUUAGCGGGGAAAGAAGACCCUUUUGAGCUUGACUCUAAUCUGGCAGUGUAAGGAGACAUAAGAGGUGUAGAAUAAGUGGGAGAUAUUAGACUUCGGUUUGGUAUCGCCAAUGAAAUACCACUACUCUUAUUGUUUCCUUACUUACUUGAUUAAAUGGAACGUGUAUCAUUUCCUAGCCAUUAUACGGAUAUAUUUAUUAUAUCUUAUGGUAUUGGGUUUUGAUGCAAGCUUCUUGAUCAAAGUAUCACGAGUUUGUUAUAUAAUCGCAAACAAAUUCUUUAAUGAGAGAUGCAUUUACUGUAUUAUUGAUUUGAAAAUUUGGUAUAACUCCAAUUACUCAGGUAUGAUCCAAUUCAAGGACAUUGCCAGGUAGGGAGUUUGACUGGGGCGGUACAUCUCUCAAAUAAUAACGGAGGUGUCCCAAGGCCAGCUCAGUGCGGACAGAAACCACACAUAGAGCAAAAGGGCAAAUGCUGACUUGAUCUCGGUGUUCAGUACACACAGGGACAGCAAAAGCUCGGCCUAUCGAUCCUUUUGGUUUUAAGAGUUUUUAACAAGAGGUGUCAGAAAAGUUACCAUAGGGAUAACUGGCUUGUGGCGGCCAAGCGUUCAUAGCGACGUCGCUUUUUGAUCCUUCGAUGUCGGCUCUUCCUAUCAUUGUGAAGCAAAAUUCACCAAGCGUUGGAUUGUUCACCCAUGCAAGGGAACGUGAGCUGGGUUUAGACCGUCGUGAGACAGGUUAGUUUUACCCUACUAAUGACAAAACGUUGUUGCGACAGCAUUCCUGCGUAGUACGAGAGGAACCGCAGGUACGGACCAAUGGCACAAUACUUGUUCGAGCGAACAGUGGUAUGACGCUACGUCCGUUGGAUUAUGCCUGAACGCCUCUAAAGUCGUAUCCGUGCUGGACUGCAUUGAUAAAUAAGGGGCAAUUUGCAUUGUAUGGCUUCUAAACCAUUUAAAGUUUAUUAUUUAUAUUUUAAACGACAAUGGAUGUGAUGCCAAUGUAAUUUGUAACAUAGUAAAUUGGGAGGAUCUUUGAUCACCUGGUGCCAUGCUAGUUACAUAUGAAAACAUUAUUUAAUACAAUGACAAAGCCUAGAAUCAAUUGUAAACGACUUUUGUAACGGGCAAGGUGUUGUAAGUGGUUGAGCAGCUGCCAUACUGCGAUCCACUGAAGCUUAUCCUUUGCUUGAUGAUUC
rnacentral:ncRNA from 1 species